GAUGAAGAACGCAGCGAAAUGCGAUAAGUAAUGUGAAUUGCAGAAUUCAGUGAAUCAUCGAAUCUUUGAACGCACAUUGCGCCCGCCAGUAUUCUGGCGGGCAUGCCUGUUCGAGCGUCAUUACAACCCUCAGGCCCCCGGGCCUGGCGUUGGGGAUCGGCGGAAGCCCCCUGCGGGCACAACGCCGUCCCCCAAAUACAGUGGCGGUCCCGCCGCAGCUUCCAUUGCGUAGUAGCUAACACCUCGCAACUGGAGAGCGGCGCGGCCACGCCGUAAAACACCCAACUUCUGAAUGUUGACCUCGAAUCAGGUAGGAAUACCCGCUGAACUUAAGCAUAUUCAAUAAGCGGAGGA
rnacentral:misc_RNA from 1 species